rnacentral:rRNA from 1 species
CCUACGGGAGGCUGCAGUGGGGAAUUUUGCACAAUGGGGGAAACCCUGAUGCAGCGACGCCGCGUGAAGGAAGAAGUAUUUCGGUAUGUAAACUUCUAUUAGCAGGGAAGAAAAUGACGGUACUUGACUAAGAAGCCUCGGCUAACUACGUGCCAGCAGCCGCGGUAAUACGUAGGGGGCAAGCGUUAUCCGGAUUUAAUGGGUGGAACGGGAGCGUAGGCGGUGCAGCAAGUAAGAAGUGAAAGCCCGGGGCUCAACUCCGGGACUGCUUUUGAAACUGUGGCACUAGAUUGCAGGAGAGGUGAGUGGAAUGCCUAGUGUAGCGGUGAAAUGCGUAGAUAUUAGGAGGAACACCAGUGGCGAAGGCGGCUUACUGGACUGUAAAUGACGCUGAGGCUCGAAAGCGUGGGGAGCAAACAGGAUUAGAUACCCGAGUAGUC